rnacentral:rRNA from 1 species
GGAUGAACGCUAGCGGCAGGCUUAACACAUGCAAGUCGAGGGGCAUCGCGGUUCCGGCAACGGGACCGGCGGCGACCGGCAUACGGGUGCGUAACGCGUGAGCGACAUUCCCGGGACCGGGGUAUAACCGACGGAAACGUCGCCUAAUCCCCCGUAACACCAUCGGGCGCAUGCCCUUUGGUUGAAAGCUCCGGCGGUUCCGGAUUGGCUCGCGUCCCAUUAGGCGGAUGGCGGGGUAACGGCCCACCAUACCUACGAUGGGUAGGGGUUCUGAGAGGAAGGUCCCCCACAAUGGAACUGAGACACGGUCCAUACUCCUACGGGAGGCAGCAGUGAGGAAUAUUGGUCAAUGGGCGGAAGCCUGAACCAGCCAUGCCGCGUGCGGGACGACGGCCCUACGGGUUGUAAACCGCUUUUGCAGGGGAGCAAUAAGGGGGUUUCGCACCCCCGACGAGCGUACCCUGCGAAUCAGCACCGGCUAACUCCGUGCCAGCAGCCGCGGUAAUACGGAGGGUGCGAGCGUUAUCCGGAUUUAUUGGGUUUAAAGGGUGCGUAGGCUGUGCGUCAAGUCAGGGGUGAAAUUCCGUCGCUCAACGUCGGGUGUGCCCUUGAUACUGGCGCGCUGGAGUACGGAUGCCGCCGGAGGAAUGAGUGGUGUAGCGGUGAAAUGCAUAGAUAUCACUCAGAACACCGAUUGCGAAGGCAUCUGGCGAAUCCGUCACUGACGCUGAUGCACGAAAGCGUGGGGAUAAAACAGGAUUAGAUACCCUGGUAUUCCACGCCGUAAACGAUGAUGACUAGCCGCCGGCGACACGCUGUCGGUGGCCCAGCGAAAGCGGUAAGUCAUCCACCUGGGGAGUACGGCCGCAAGGCUGAAACUCAAAGGAAUUGACGGGGGCCCGCACAAGCGGAGGAACAUGUGGUUUAAUUCGAUGAUACGCGAGGAACCUUACCCGGGCUCGAACGGCGGCCGGCCGGGGCAGAGAUGCCCCUUCCCUUCGGGGCGUCCGUCGAGGUGCUGCAUGGUUGUCGUCAGCUCGUGCCGUGAGGUGUCGGCUUAAGUGCCAUAACGAGCGCAACCCUUGCCGCCAGUUGCCAUCACGUUUGGGUGGGGACUCUGGCGGGACUGCCGCCGCAAGGUGCGAGGAGGGGGGGGGGAUGACGUCAAAUCAGCACGGCCCUUACGUCCGGGGCGACACACGUGUUACAAUGGCGGCCACAGCGGGAUGCUACCGGGCGACCGGAUGCGGAUCUCGAAAAGCCGUCUCAGUUCGGACCGGAGUCUGCAACUCGACUCCGCGAAGCUGGAUUCGCUAGUAAUCGCGCAUCAGCCACGGCGCGGUGAAUACGUUCCCGGGCCU